rnacentral:rRNA from 1 species
AGGUGCUAAUACCCGGAUAAGAAAGCAGAUCGCAUGAUCAGCUUUUAAAGGCGGGCGUAAAGCUGUCGCUAUGGGGAUGGGCCCCCGCGGUGCAUUAGCUAGUUGGUAAAGGUAAGGCUUACCAGGGCGAUGAUGCAUAGCCCGAGUUGAGAGACUGAUCGGGCCUACAUUGGGACUGAGACACGGGCCCAAAACUCCUACGGGGAGGCAGCAGUAGGGAAUCUUCCACAAUGGACGCAAGUCUGAUGGAGCAACGCCGCGUGAGUGAAGAAGGUUUUCGGAUCGUAAAAGCUCUGUUGUUGGUGAAGAAGGAUAGAGGUAGUAACUGGCCUUUAUUUGACGGUAAUCAACCAGAAGUCACGGCUAACUACGUGCCAGCAGCCGCGGUAAU